CCUACGGGUGGCAGCAGUGGGGAAUAUUGCACAAUGGGCGAAACCCUGAUGCAGCGACGUCGCGUGAGUGAAGAAGUAUUUCGGUAUGUAAAGCUCUAUCAGCAGGGAAGAAAAAAGACGGUACCUGACUAAGAAGCCCCGGCUAACUACGUGCCAGCAGCCGCGGUACUACGUAGGGGGCAAGCGUUAUCCGGAUUUACUGGGGGUAAAGGGAGCGUAGACGGCGCGGCAAGUCUGAAGUGAAAGGCAGGGGCUUAACCCCUGAACUGCUUUGGAAACUGCGAUGCUAGAGUGCUGGAGAGGUAAGUGGAAUUCCUAGUGUAGCGGUGAAAUGCAUAGAUAUUAGGAGGAACACCAGUGGCGAAGGCGGCUUACCGGACAGUAACUGACGUUGAGGCUCGAAAGCGUGGGUAGCAAACAGGAUUAGAUACCCCAGUAGUC
rnacentral:rRNA from 1 species